GUUGGUUUCUCAUCUUUUUUAAUCAAAGACUUUCUUGAGGGAAUUGGAGGAAGUAGAGAAUGAGAACUGCGCUUUUGUGGGGGUAACUGCUCAUCUUCUGCCUUUGAUAUAAGAGGUUUUGUCACAGAAGGCAGUGAUUCUGGGGUGUGUCUUCUUGUUAGGGAAGAAGAUAAAAAUGAACUGCUUAAUCUUGACAGUGUAGGUGUUCCCAGAAUAAUACUUGGAGAUGGUACACUACUAUAUAGGUCAAUAGACUGCCUGUAACUUUGAGGCCAAGAAGUGUUGUAAGAACCAGUUUUGCUCUGUUGAUGGUUAUCGGCUAAAGAGUCAUCGGAAUCUGAUUGAUUCCCGUCUUCUUCACCUUGUCCACCUCUGUUAAGUUCCUUCUCUUCAUCCUCCUCAUCACUAUCUAUGUAAAAACUCUGUUCAGAAGCAGAAUUCUUCAUUUUCUCUUCUUCUUCUUCUUCUUUCUCUCCCAAAUACUUCGCUCAAAUGAAAGUGAUAUAAGACUAUAAGCAGAAGUUGUCUUUGUUUCUCGAUAACAGAGAGUUUGUUGGAAUCUG
rnacentral:misc_RNA from 1 species